rnacentral:rRNA from 1 species
CGUAACAAGGUCUCCGUUGGUGAACCAGCGGAGGGAUCAUUAUAGAGUUUUCUAAACUCCCAACCCAUGUGAACUUACCUUUUGUUGCCUCGGCAGAAGUUAUAGGUCUUCUUAUAGCUGCUGCCGGUGGACCAUUAAACUCUUGUUAUUUUAUGUAAUCUGAGCGUCUUAUUUUAAUAAGUCAAAACUUUCAACAACGGAUCUCUUGGUUCUGGCAUCGAUGAAGAACGCAGCGAAAUGCGAUAAGUAAUGUGAAUUGCAGAAUUCAGUGAAUCAUCGAAUCUUUGAACGCACAUUGCGCCCAUUAGUAUUCUAGUGGGCAUGCCUGUUCGAGCGUCAUUUCAACCCUUAAGCCUAGCUUAGUGUUGGGAAUCUACUUCUUUAUAGUUGUAGUUCCUGAAAUACAACGGCGGAUUUGUAGUAUCCUCUGAGCGUAGUAAUUUUUUUCUCGCUUUUGUUAGGUGCUAUAACUCCCAGCCGCUAAACCCCCAAUUUUUUGUGGUUGACCUCGGAUCAGGUAGGAAUACCCGCUGAACUUAAGCAUAUCAAU